rnacentral:lncRNA from 1 species
AUUUUCAUUAACAGAACAGAGUGACGCCAAAACGCAAAGGAAACCCGAGUGGCGUCAGUGCUCAGUGUCGGCGAGUCCCCUUCACACACACACACGUCAACCCCCCCCGCGCAGUUCCCAGUCCAAUGGACUUCGCUUCCGCUCGUACCGCCUCACUGUCUUCGGAGAGCUGUAGUAGUGGCACACGUCGGGAAGUCCCCCGUUGCGUGGUCCAGAGCGAUAUGAGAAUUUCGGGUGGAUCCUCGAUGGAGGCGAGCCCGAUGGAAUGCAGAAAGGAUCAUCUGGAGUGGAGGCAUCCCGAUUCAGGUGUCAAGGCUGGGGUGUUCUCAGGCGUGAACAUUGUAUCCCGCGGUGCACGAUGUGGUUCGCGCAAGUCCCGUGCAACGCGUGGUCCCGUAAUCCCUGUAGCACCUGUGCUGAUAUUCCUUGCGAUUGGGUGCAUUGUCACGUCAAACUCACCGGAGAGUUCCCGUGUCAGGGCCGGAAAAGUUCCCUUCCUGCUGACGGCACUUGCUCAUUCAACAGUCUCGGCCAAUGAGGGAGUGGUACACCGCGACAGAACUGUCGCGCCUUCCACCGAAGAGGAAACUCGGGGAUCGCAGUCGACGCUCUUCACCACUGUCCCGCUGCAGGUUAGGCGCUUGUCGGCAGUAAACGAAAGUGGUCCGGCCGAUGCUGAUACCCAGGUGUCACGUCACCGUGGCGCGGAUGAGACUCCACCUCAGCAGCGUGGACGUCCUGGUGCACAUCAACCAGUCUCCUCGUCUGGUUCUUCGUCAGGCUCGUCAGAGGCGUCACCGUUGCCACCUGCCUCGAGACGCCCGCAAUCACAAGCGUUUCCGAUACCGCUAGGUCCGUCUUCCACACGGCAGCCCCCUUCGCGGCAGGGACACUCAUCGCAAGAUGGAGUCGGAGACAGUACGCCGGCUCAUAGGCGACCGCCUGGGACAGAAGAGACUCCCCAGGGGCUACCUAUGCCGCGGGCGACCUCACCUGUUCGAACAGGCCAACAAAUCCUUUUGUUGGCGAAAGCAUUGCGAGAGACUCAAAAAGCCCAAAAAGAGGCAGGAAUGAACAUAAUACCUGGCACAACACCGUUGUCCGAAAUCGAGCGUGCCAUACAGGAUUCGAAGCCGAAGCCGCCGAAGCCGUUCACUGCGUUAGACCUUUUUCGUGAGGUACAUGCCCAGCGGAGACGCCAGCAGCGAUCUGGCACGCGGUCCGACGGGCGCGGGGCAGAAACGACGAGUGCUCCCGAGAGACCAAGUGCGUCGCAGGCGAUCACCUCGACUGAUUCGGAAACGUCAGAUCGCUCGAGGCGUGCCCGACGCGGACACCGAGAGAGUUCAAAGCGAGACAGUCGACGGGGCCCUGGAGGGACACAGACUACCAGGCAGCCCGGUGCAGAGCCUUGUCCUGAAUCCCAAGGCCCCGGGGCGGCAUCGGCGACAUCUCGAAGGUCACGAUCAAGGUCCCGGAGUGGCUCACGGGACAGGAGUGGAGCGCGGGGACAGGGACGGAGCAGGCCAUCGGGUGAACCGCCGCGUGCCGAGCUCGGGCCUCGUCCCGUGCCUGCGCCCAUCCUACAGAGUCCCUUGCUAUCACCGGCAACGCCUGAGUUGGAGAGUCCUGCGAUGAGGCAUGUUGGAGGCACAUCGCGAGUGCCUUCUACGGUUUCUGCUGCUCUUCUGUCGCGCAUGCCUCCUGUGUUUCCUGGUCCUAGCGGAGCUCCGUGGACUUUAGGAGGACCUCGCGAACCUGGCGAACGAGCCGCACAUCCAGGCCUGCUGCCACUGCAGGAAGGUAGUUUGUAUGCAGCUCCGCAAAUGCGGCCGUCAGCCGCCCCUCAUUUGCAGAGCGCGGCUUCUUUGCACUCACAGAGACACCAUGGGGAACCCAGCGGUGGCGUAUCGGAAAGCCACGUCCUCGUUCCAUUGUCACCCGGUAGUGUCAUAGUUCACGCUGUCAGUAGUCUUUCGUUUGGACCACCAUCUGGUUCCUCACGAGGCUCCUCGUCGCCAGCCUCAUCCCCUUCAUUCCGGUAUCCGUAACUGCGUGAGUGAACGGCGGUGCGUACCGGAAACGGAAGGGGAUAGACGGGGGGACAGUGCAUGGUUCUACAGAAAUGUCCAUUUCUGUCUUACGUGUAGAUGUGUUGUGGCCUCCGCAAUGUGUUGCGAGGCGGCUGGCUUGGUACUUACCGUGUGGAGGUCUCAAAUGUCUUCCGCGACGUCCAUUUGUUUACUUUCGAUUGCUGUCGUAGGGGUCCCUCAUCUGUGUUACACAGAGACGCGGUUUUGGGCCCAUAUUUAGCAUCCCGAAAGAGUAUUGUGUAAUUGUAUGCAAAGCAUGCAAUUUGUUGGUUUAGUGUUUCUAUAUGCAGAGCCUUGUCCUGAAUCCCAAGGCCCCGGGGCGGCAUCGGCGACAACUGGAAGGUCACGAUCAAGGUCCCGGAGUGGCUCACGGGACAGGAGUGGAGCGCGGGGACAGGGACGGAGCAGGCCAUCGGGUGAACCGCCGCGUGCCGAGCUCGGGCCUCGUCCCGUGCCUGCGCCCAUCCUACAGAGUCUCUUGCUAUCACCGGCAACGCCUGAGUUGGAGAGUCUUGCGAUGAGGCGCGUUAGAGGCUCAUCGCGAGUGCCUUCUACGGUUUCUGCUGCUCUUCUGUCGCGCAUGCCUCCUGUGUUUCCUGGUCCUAGCGGAGCUCCGUGGACUUUAGGAGGACCUCGCGAACCUGGCGAACGAGCCGCACAUCCAGGCCUGCUGCCACUGCAGGAAGGUAGUUUGUAUGCAGCUCCGCAAAUGCGGCCGUCAGCCGCCCCUCAUUUGCAGAGCGCGGCUUCUUUGCACUCACAGAGACACCAUGGGGAACCCAGCGGUGGCGUAUCGGAAAGCCACGUCCUCGUUCCAUUGUCACCCGGUAGUGUCAUAGUUCACGCUGUCAGUAGUCUUUCGUUUGGACCACCAUCUGUUUCCUCACGAGGCUCCUCGUCGCCAGCCUCAUCCCCUUCAUUCCGGUAUCCGGAACCGCGUGAGUGAACGGCGGUGCGUACCGGAAACGGAAGGGGAUAGACGGGGGGACAGUGCAUGGUUCUACAGAAAUGUCCAUUUCUGUCUUACGUGUAGAUGUGUUGUGGCCUCCGCAAUGUGUUGCGAGGCGGCUAGCUUGGUACUUACCGUGUGGAGGUCUCAAAUGUCUUCCGCGACGUCCAUUUGUUUACUUUCGAUUGCUGUCGUAGGGGUCCCUCAUCUGUGUUAAACAGAGACGCGGUUUUGGGCCCAUAUUUAGCAUCCCGAAAGAGUAUUGUGUAAUUGUAUGCAAAGCAUGCAAUUUGUUGGUUUAGUGUUUCUAUAUGCAGAGCCUUGUCCUGAAUCCCAAGGCCCCGGGGCGGCAUCGGCGACAACUGGAAGGUCACGAUCAAGGUCCCGGAGUGGCUCACGGGACAGGAGUGGAGCGCGGGGACAGGGACGGAGCAGGCCAUCGGGUGAACCGCCGCGUGCCGAGCUCGGGCCUCGUCCCGUGCCUGCGCCCAUCCUACAGAGUCUCUUGCUAUCACCGGCAACGCCUGAGUUGGAGAGUCUUGCGAUGAGGCGCGUUAGAGGCUCAUCGCGAGUGCCUUCUACGGUUUCUGCUGCUCUUCUGUCGCGCAUGCCUCCUGUGUUUCCUGGCCCUAGCGGAGCUCCGUGGACUUCAGGAGGACCUCGCGAACCUGCCGGACGAGCCGCACAUCCAGGCCUGCUGCCACUGCAGGAAGGUAGUUUGUAUGCAGCUCCGCAAAUGCGGCCGUCAGCCGCCCCUCAUUUGCAGAGCGCGGCUUCUUUGCACUCACAGAGACACCAUGGGGAACCCAGCGGUGGCGUAUCGGAAAGCCACGUCCCCGUUCCAUUGUCACCCGGUAGUGCUAUAGUUCGAGCUGUCAGUACGCUUUCGUCUGAUACAUCAUCUGUUUCCUCACGAGGCUCCUCGUCGCCAGCCUCAUCCCCUUCAUUCCGGUAUCCGGAACCGCGUGAGUGAACGGCGGUGCGUACCGGAAACGGAAGGGGAUAGACGGGGGGACAGUGCAUGGUUCUACAGAAAUGUCCAUUUCUGUCUUACGUGUAGAUGUGUUGUGGCCUCCGCAAUGUGCUGCGAGGCGGCUGGCUUGGUACUUAUUGUGUGGAGGUCUCAAAUGUCUUCCGCGACGUCCAUUUGUUUACUUUCGAUGGCUGUAGUAGGGGUCCCUCAUCUGUGUUAAACAGAGACGCGGUUUUGGGCCCAUAUUUAGCUAGCAUCCCGAAAGAGUAUUGUGUAAUUGUAUGCAAAGCAUGCAAUUUGUUAGUUUAGUGUUUCUAUAUGCAGAGCCUUGUCCUGAAUCCCAAGGCCCCGGGGCGGCAUCGGCGACAACUGGAAGGUCACGAUCAAGGUCCCGAAGUGGCUCACGGGACAGGAGUGGAGCGCGGGGACAGGGACGGAGCAGGCCAUCGGGUGAACCGCCGCGUGCCGAGCUCGGGCCUCGUCCCGUGCCUGCGCCCAUCCUACAGAGUCUCUUGCUAUCACCGGCAACGCCUGAGUUGGAGAGUCUUGCGAUGAGGCGCGUUAGAGGCUCAUCGCGAGUGCCUUCUACGGUUUCUGCUGCUCUUCUGUCGCGCAUGCCUCCUGUGUUUCCUGGCCCUAGCGGAGCUCCGUGGACUUCAGGAGGACCUCGCGAACCUGCCGAACGAGCCGCACAUCCAGGCCUGCUGCCACUGCAGGAAGGUAGUUUGUAUGCAGCUCCGCAAAUGCGGCCGUCAGCCGCCCCUCAUUUGCAGAGCGCGGCUUCUUUGCACUCACAGAGACACCAUGGGGAACCCAGCGGUGGCGUAUCGGAAAGCCACGUCCCCGUUCCAUUGUCACCCGGUAGUGCUAUAGUUCGAGCUGUCAGUACGCUUUCGUCUGAUACAUCAUCUGUUUCCUCACGAGGCUCCUCGUCGCCAGCCUCAUCCCCUUCAUUCCGGUAUCCGGAACCGCGUGAGUGAACGGCGGUGCGUACCGGAAACGGAAGGGGAUAGACGGGAGGACAGCGCAUGGUUCUACAGAAAUGUCCAUUUCUGUCUUACGCGUAGAUGUGUUGUGGCCUCCGCAGUGUGCUGCGAGGCGGCUAGCUUGGUACUUGUCGUGUGGAGGUCUCAAAUGUCUUCCGCGACGUCCAUUUGUUUACUUCCGAUGGCUGUCGUAGGGGCCCUCAUCUGUGUUAGAGACGCGGUUUUGGGCACAUAUUUAGCAUCCCGAAAGAGUAUUGUGGGAUUGUAUGCAAAGCAUGCAGUUUUUUGGUGUAGUGUUUCUAAAUGCCGUACAACCCGGAGCGGUCGCCCGGAGAGGCGCAUGCGCUCGAACGAAGAAGUGAAAGACAGGAAAACACGGCUGAGCCCUUUUUGAAAAGCAACCCGCAGAAAGUCCGAAC